rnacentral:rRNA from 1 species
GACGUAGGAGGCGAGCGUUGUCCGGAUUCAUUGGGCGUAAAGAGCACGCAGGCGGUUUGGCAAGUCGGAUGUGAAAGCCCGGAGCUCAACUCCGGACCUGCAUCCGAAACUGCCCGACUAGAGGUAGGUAGGGGAGAUCGGAAUUCCUGGUGUAGCGGUGAAAUGCGCAGAUAUCAGGAGGAACACCGGUGGCGAAGGCGGAUCUCUGGGCCUUACCUGACGCUCAGGUGCGAAAGCGUGGGGAGCGGACAGG